rnacentral:rRNA from 1 species
UACGGGGGGGGCAAGCGUUGUUCGAAAUUACUGGGCGUAAAGGGCGCGUAGGCGGCCAUCUAAGUCAGACGUGAAAUCCCUCGGCUCAACCGAGGAACUGCGUCUGAUACUGGAAGGCUUGAAUCCGGGAGAGGGAUGUGGAAUUCCUGGUGUAGCGGUGAAAUGCGCAGAUAUCAGGAAGAACACCCGUGGCUAAGGCGGCUCUCUAGUACGGUACUGACGCUGAGACGCGAAAGCGUGGGGAGCAAACAGG